GCUCAGGUCCUCCCGCUCAGCUGGCGGUCUGGGCUGCUCUGGGGCAGCCCUUCGGUCCACUGCUCUGCAUCGCGGGCGCCGGGAAUUUUCCGAGUCCGAGCGGGUUGCUGCUUUUGCUCAGAGGACAUCCAUGACCCUAAUGGUCUUUUUGUUCAAGAUAAAGUGAUUUAUUGCCUUUGUUGAUUAACCGGACAAAUUCAG
rnacentral:sRNA from 1 species